rnacentral:rRNA from 1 species
GGAUUAGAUACCCGGGUAGUCCACGCCCUAAACGAUGCAUACUUGGUGUGGGCAGUUCAUUCUGUCCGUGCCGGAGCUAACGCGUUAAGUAUGCCGCCUGGGGAGUACGGUCGCAAGGCUGAAAUUCAAAGGAAUUGACGGGGGCCCGCACAAGCGGUGGAGCAUGUGGUUUAAUUCGACGCAACGCGAAGAACCUUACCUGGGCUCGAACGGCUUCUGAAAGUCUUUAGAAAUAGAGAUUCUCCCGCAAGGGACAGGAGUCGAGGUGCUGCAUGGCUGUCGUCAGCUCGUGUCGUGAGAUGUUGGGUUAAGUCCCGCAACG